rnacentral:snRNA from 1 species
GGAUGUGAGAGUGAGCUGGAUGUGACAUCUGUCACUCUAUCGAUCACCAGGGUUGAUUUGACUGACUGGCUAGGCGGGUGUCCCCUUCUUCCCUUACCACUCCAUGUGCAUCCCUCCAGAAGCUGCGUGCUAGGACCAUCUAGAAUGGAGGACUGUUUUUCCAUCAUGGGUAUAUGAGUAGCUGUGUUCCCCUUCUAGAAUCUUAAACAAGCUCUCAAGCAUGUGUUUAAUGAUGGGUGACAGUCUACCCCAGGUACAGCAUUUUCAUACCUUUUGCAGAGAACUGAUCCACUAU